GGGGGGGGGGGGGGGGGGGGGGGGGGGGGGGGGGGGGGGCGGGGGCGGGGAGGAGCGUGCUUCUUUGCUGAGGAGUGGCGGAGGGGGGGGGACUGUCGGGGGAACGGCCGGAUGGAGGGGGGGCACGACUGGAAACGGGAGCUAAGACCGCAUAACGUCGCAAGAGCACAGAGGGGGACGUUAGGGCGUCUUGCGCUCGGCUGUGCACAACUGGGAUUAGCUUGUUGGUGGGGUAACGGCUCCCCAAGGCGACGAUCCCUAGCUGGUCUGAGCGGAUGACCAGCCACACUGGACCUUAGACACGGUCCAGACUCCUACGGGAGGCAGCAGUGGGGAAUAUUGCACCAUGGGCGCAAGCCUGAUGCAGCCAUGCCGCGUGUAUGAAGAAGGCCUUCGGGUUGUAAAGUACUUUCAGCGGGGAGGAAGGGAGUAAAGUUAAUACCUUUGCUCAUUGACGUUACCCGCAGAAGAAGCACCGGCUAACUCCGUG
rnacentral:rRNA from 1 species